rnacentral:rRNA from 1 species
GAUGAACGCUAGCUACAGGCUUAACACAUGCAAGUCGAGGGGCAGCAUGAACUUAGCUUGCUAAGUUUGAUGGCGACCGGCGCACGGGUGAGUAACGCGUAUCCAACCUUCCCCUUAGUAGGGCAUAGCCCGGCGAAAGUCGGAUUAAUACCCUAUGUUAUCCGAAGAGGACAUCUGAAUUGGAUUAAAGAUUUAUCUGCUAAGGGAUGGGGAUGCGUCCGAUUAGCUUGCCGGCGGGGUAACGGCCCACCGGGGCUACGAUCGGUAGGGGUUCUGAGAGGAAGGUCCCCCACACUGGUACUGAGACACGGACCAGACUCCUACGGGAGGCAGCAGUGAGGAAUAUUGGUCAAUGGGCGGGAGCCUGAACCAGCCAAGUAGCGUGCAGGAGACGGCCCUAUGGGUUGUAAACUGCUUUUAUAUAGGGAUAAAGUGCACUACGUGUAGUGUUUUGUAGUACUAUAUGAAUAAGACCGGCUAAUUCCGUGCCAGCAGCGCGGUAAUACGGAAGUCCGGCGUUAUCCGAUUUAUUGGUUUAAGGAGCGCAGCCUGCGUUUAGCUGCUGUGAAAUGGACGGUCAACUGGAUGCACCGCGCAACUGGAAUGCUUGGAUGAUACAACCGCCAAGAAUCUGUUACGUGAAAGCUGAAAUAUCA